rnacentral:rRNA from 1 species
AACGAACGCUGGCGGCAUGCCUAACACAUGCAAGUCGAACGAGAUCUUCGGGUCUAGUGGCGCACGGGUGCGUAACGCGUGGGAAUCUGCCCUUUGGUUCGGAAUAACAGUUGGAAACGACUGCUAAUACCGGAUGAUGACGAAAGUCCAAAGAUUUAUCGCCAGAGGAUGAGCCCGCGUAGGAUUAGCUAGUUGGUGUGGUAAGGGCGCACCAAGGCGACGAUCCUUAGCUGUUCUGAGAGGAUGAUCAGCCACACUGGGACUGAGACACGGCCCAGACUCCUACGGGAGGCAGCAGUGGGGAAUAUUGGACAAUGGGCGAAAGCCUGAUCCAGCAAUGCCGCGUGAGUGAUGAAGGCCUUAGGGUUGUAAAGCUCUUUUACCCGGGAUGAUAAUGACAGUACCGGGAGAAUAAGCUCCGGCUAACUCCGUGCCAGCAGCCGCAGUAA